rnacentral:lncRNA from 1 species
CCUGUGCUCCAGAGAUCAAACUUCCCACACACAGUCCAGGAAGGAGGAGAAGGGAUGUGUGUGAGUGCGUGCGUGUGCGUGCGUGUGUGUGUGUGUGUGUGACAGAAGGAAAGGAGGUCAUCCGGAAGGGCUUGCAGAGGACAAGCCAGCUGGGUUCUUCUCUUCUCCCGCAGCAGCCCAGGCAUGGAGCCCACCCAGCAGACCAGAGCGGGCCCCCUCCUCCCCCAGCCCCGCCUCAGCCUCCCGGCCAGUCCCUCUCCAGGGUAUGUGUAUCCUGGAGCAGAUGUGGCUCAAGCAAAUGAGCACCUGCCUCCCACACGGGAGGUCCUGGGUUCAGUUUCCGGUGCCUCCUAAGGAAAACAGACCACAAGCAGACAACGAGCAAAAACAACAAGCAAACACACAAACACAAUAAAAACAACAAGCAGACAAGCAAAAAAUACUAAAAAAUAUUGAAUUGUAACCUAAAAAUGUGUG